rnacentral:rRNA from 1 species
AUUGAACGCUGGCGGCAGGCCUAACACAUGCAAGUCGAAUGGUAACAGGAAGCAGCUUGCUGUUUCGCUGACGAGUGGCGGACGGGUGAGUAAUGUCUGGGAAACUGCCUGAUGGAGGGGGAUAACUACUGGAAACGGUAGCUAAUACCGCAUAACGUCGCAAGACCAAAGAGGGGGACCUUCGGGCCUCUUGCCAUCAGAUGUGCCCAGAUGGGAUUAGCUAGUAGGUGGGGUAACGGCUCACCUAGGCGACGAUCCCUAGCUGGUCUGAGAGGAUGACCAGCCACACUGGAACUGAGACACGGUCCAGACUCCUACGGGAGGCAGCAGUGGGGAAUAUUGCACAAUGGGCGCAAGCCUGAUGCAGCCAUGCCGCGUGUAUGAAGAAGGCAUUCGGGUUGUAAAGUACUUUCAGCGGGGAGGAAGGGAGUAAAGUUAAUACCUUUGCUCAUUGACGUUACCCGCAGAAGAAGCACCGGCUAACUCCGUG